rnacentral:rRNA from 1 species
UACGUAGGGGGCUAGCGUUGUCCGGAAUCAUUGGGCGUAAAGCGCGUGUAGGCGGUCCGGUAAGUCCGCUGUGAAAGUCGGGGGCUCAACCCUCGAAUGCCGGUGGAUACUGUCGGGCUAGAGUGCGGAAGAGGCGAGUGGAAUUCCUGGUGUAGCGGUGAAAUGCGCAGAUAUCAGGAGGAACACCAAUUGCAAGGCAGCUCGCUGGGACGUAACUGACGCUGAGACGCGAAAGCGUGGGGAGCAAACAGG